UACGGAGGCAGCAAGCGUUGUUCGGAAUUACUGGGCGUAAAGGGUGCGUAGGCGGUGCUCUAAGUUUGGUGUGAAAUCUCCCGGCUUAACUGGGAGGGUGCGCCGAAAACUGGAGGGCUGGAGUGCGGGAGAGGAAAGCGGAAUUCCUGGUGUAGCGGUGAAAUGCGUAGAGAUCAGGAGGAACACCUGCGGUGUAGACGGCUUUCUGGACCGUAACUGACGCUGAGGCAAGAAAGCGUGGGUAGCAAACAGG
rnacentral:rRNA from 1 species